AUUGAACGCUGGCGGCAUGCUUUACACAUGCAAGUCGAACGGUAACAGGGUGCUUGCACCGCUGACGAGUGGCGAACGGGUGAGUAAUGCGUCGGAACGUGCCGAGUAGUGGGGGAUAACGCAGCGAAAGUUGUGCUAAUACCGCAUACGUACUGAGGUAGAAAGUGGGGGACCUUCGGGCCUCACGCUAUUCGAGCGGCCGACGUCUGAUUAGCUAGUAGGUGAGGUAAAGGCUCACCUAGGCGACGAUCAGUAGCGGGUCUGAGAGGAUGAUGCGCCACACUGGGACUGAGACACGGGCCAGACUCCUACGGGAGGCAGCAGUGGGGAAUUUUGGACAAUGGGCGAAAGCCUGAUCCAGCCAUGCCGCGUGUCUGAAGAAGGCCUUCGGGUUGUAAAGGACUUUUGUCAGGGAGGAAAUCCCUAGUGCUAAUAACACUGGGGGAUGACAGUACCUGAAGAAUAAGCACCGGCUAACUACGUGCCAGCCGCCGCGGUAA
rnacentral:rRNA from 1 species